rnacentral:lncRNA from 1 species
GCCACAAUUAAAUUGGUUAUCGAAGCCACGUCAACAUAAACUAACAAUAUUAGUAAUGCGGAGGUACUAACCUGUGUAAUAGGCCCAAUUCGCCCGGCCCAUUAUAAACCAAAAAUAAUAAAUAUAAAAAAACAAAAGAAAAUAAAUGGCCUAAAAUAAGUCAAAGUCCAAGUUCUUUUACAAAUAAUAAAAUAACCCAAUUAACCCAAACAAAUCCCCAAACCCAAUAAAUAAUGGCCUAAAACAUUAAUCCAAAAUCCUAUUACACCCAAAACCCCUAAUUUAGUCCCUGACCCAAUUCCUAAAUGGCCCAAAGGAGCCCAAUAAUGUGAAAGCACCAGAAACCCUAGGGGUUUCUGGAAGAUGCUAGAGCAGCAACAGAUUGAUCCCACGAGCGAUUCCCACGCACGGCUUCCACGAGCGGAUUCCUCCAUACCGCCGUUUCUCCACACCUGCAAAUUGAACACACGAGAAGGAGCAAAUAACAGAAAUAGGCCAGCAGAUGACAGCAAAAAUUAGAGUUUUUCUCUAUUUUAUUUAUUUAUUUAUUCUGUAAAUCGGUUAAAAAAAGGCCGAAAAAAUCAGUGUAAAGGGAUUACGAAAAGAUUGAAUACGAAAUCAAAAAAGAGAAAAUUCCACAAAAAUUAGAAGGUGAUAGUUUACUUUAUUUUUUGGUUUUAAAUAUCUUUUUUCAUUUUUUUCAUUUUUUUCGUCUUUGAAAUACUUUUCUUGUAUGCGAAUAAAUAAAAAAGAAAAGAGAGAGGAAUACUACUAGAGUGGAUUCACUCUUCCCUCGUCAGAAACUCUCCCUCUAUUGGCGGAGUUGGCCUUUGGGGGGAGAGUAAAGGUCCUCCGAUCUUCUAGCAGAGGUGCGGUUGAAACCCUAGAAAUGAGGGUUAAAAGAAUAGGGAAUUAGAAGCUGAUUUCAGCAAAAAAUGGCAGACUGCCAUUU